AUCAGAGUGGCGCAGCGGAAGUGUGGUGGGCCCAUAACCCACAGGUCCCAGGAUCAAACCUGGCUCUAAUA
rnacentral:tRNA from 1 species